AUAAUUAAUGUCCCCCGGAAACUCAACCGACAGGAACAGCAGUUCCGCGGUGUAUGAGCUGGACACCCCUUGAGUAAAGAGCAUUGGGUUUCAAAGGAGGACAGAAGAGGCUCCAUCCAAUCUGCUGGAGCUGGACAUGCUGAGCUUUCUGCUGUGGGUGCUGGGAUCAGAACUCAGUAAGCAGUGAGAAAAUCGACCUUCAGUUUCUGAAGUCUGCUGUGAAGUGAUUCUCAAUUCCCACAGUCGUAGAACAAAUUCUUCCCAUUCACUAUUGUGGCCAGAGCCGAGAGUAUGUUUGGCUGCAGAAAAGGCUCACCUCCAGUGCCUUCUAAUGUGAAAAGAGGGUGAGACUGGGUCUUAAUAAAA